GGUUUUAUAAUUUAAAAUAAAAUAUUAAAUUGCAAAUUUAAAUAUAGAUUAAUUUCUUAAAACUU
rnacentral:tRNA from 1 species